rnacentral:rRNA from 1 species
CAGCCGCCACGGGAAAACGAAGGGGGCUAGCGUUGUUCGGAAUUACUGGGCGUAAAGCGCACGUAGGCGGACAUUUAAGUCAGGGGUGAAAUCCCGGGGCUCAACCCCGGAACUGCCUUUGAUACUGGGUGUCUUGAGUGUGGAAGAGGUCAGUGGAAUUGCGAGUGUAGAGGUGAAAUUCGUAGAUAUUCGCAGGAACACCAGUGGCGAAGGCGGCUGACUGGUCCACAACUGACGCUGAGGUGCGAAAGCGUGGGGAGCAAACAGGAUUAGAUACCCGCGUAGUCCCUGUCUCUUAUAC